rnacentral:rRNA from 1 species
AUUGAACGCUGGCGGCAGGCCUAACACAUGCAAGUCGAACGAGUGGCGGACGGGUGAGUAAUGUCUGGGAAACUGCCUGAUGGAGGGGGCUAACUACUGGAAACGGUAGCUAAUACCGCAUACCAUCGGAUGUGCCCAGAUGGGCUUAGCUAGUAGGUGGGGUAAAGGCUCACCUAGGCGAAGAUCCCUAGCUGGUCUGAGAGGUUGACCAGCCACACUGGAACUGAGACACGGUCCAGACUCCUACGGGGUGCAGCAGUGGGGAAUAUUGCACAAUGGGCGCAAGCCGGAUGCAGCCAUGCCGCUGGUAUGAAGAAGGCCUUCGGGUUGUAAAGUACUUUCAGCGGGGAGGCGUUACCCACAGAAGAAGCACCGGCUAACUCCGGGCCAGCAGCCGCGGUAAUUC